rnacentral:rRNA from 1 species
GACGAACGCUGGCGGCGUGCUUAACACAUGCAAGUCAAGGGGGCCCAGCAAUGGGCAACCGGCGAACGGGUGCGUAACACGUGAGCAACCUACCGAAAUGUGGGGGAUAGCCGGCCUAACGGCCGAGUAAUACCGCAUACGCUCUCGAUGAGGCAUUUCAUUGAGAGGAAACCUACGGGACAUUUCGAGGGGCUCGCGGCCUAUCAGCUAGUUGGCGAGGUAACGGCUCACCAAGGCGACGACGGGUAGCUGGUCUGAGAGGAUGGCCAGCCACAUUGGGACUGAGAUACGGUCCAGACUCCUACGGGAGGCAGCAGUGGGGAAUCUUGCGCAAUGGCCUAACGGCUGACGCAGCGACGCCGCGUGUGGGAUGAAGCUCUUCGGAGUGUAAACCACUGUUGCCCGGGACGAAUAGCUCGAUUAAUCGAGCCUGACGGUCGGGUGAGGAAGCACCGGCUAACUACGUGCCAGCAGCCGCAGU